GAUGAACGCUGGCGGCGUGCCUAAUACAUGCAAGUCGAACGCAUUGUGGUUGAAAUGAUAUGAAGAACUUGUUCAGAUUUGAUUUUCAACAUUGCAAUGAGUGGCGAACGGGUGAGUAACACGUGGGAAACCUACCUCUUAGCAGGGGAUAACAUUUGGAAACAAAUGCUAAUACCGUAUAAUAAUUAAAACCGCAUGGUUUUAGUUUAAAAGAUGGUCUUGCUAUCACUAAGAGAUGGUCCCGCGGUGUAUUAGUUAGUUGGUGAGGUAAUGGCUCACCAAGACAAUGAUACAUAGCCGAGUUGAGAGACUGACCGGCCACAAUGGGACUGAGACACGGCCCAUACUCCUACGGGAGGCAGCAGUAGGGAAUCUCCUACAAUGGACGAAAGUACUGAUGGAGCAACGCCGCGU
rnacentral:rRNA from 1 species